rnacentral:misc_RNA from 1 species
UGAAUGCAGGGAAAAGGUUGAAAUGAUAGAUGAUUGCGCUGAAGCAAACAGGCACCACAAAACGAAACAACAUCAUUGCGAUACUCAUUUGAGUCUUCAAAAUGAAGGGGUUCAUCCUCAUUGUAAGGCAUCAAAUGGAGAUAAUAAUGGAGCAAUCAACAAUACAGUUAAUAUCGAGCUCGAAGCACACCAUUCAAACCCAGAAUGCCCCAGCACUUGUAAUAAGGCUUCGGAAAACAAUGGGACAAACAACUGUAAAAGCUGCAAAAGGGGAAGCUCACAACUCCAAAUUGGAAAAUCUUGUGCAGGUUUGG